AUUAGGCAAUAUUUUAUAUAUAACAAUAAUUAAUAUUUACAAGAUCUUCGUGGUUGGUAGAGCAAUGUUAGGGAUUUUAAAUGAUUUGAUUGAGAAAAUCAUGCAUGUAAUUAAUAAUUAGGCUGUAAAUAGAGGGAAUUCUAACUAUUUAAAAAGAAGCAAACCUCCAUUGAGGGGCAUUCAAACCAAAAACCAAUUUCAAUCUUUCUAACAUGGUAUCAGAGCUCCUAACUUAAAUUUCUAGAGUUGUGAGAAAUUCUCAUCUUAGUUUGUGGACUGAUUCAGUUCAUUUUUUUAGAGGUUCUUCAGCUUGGGCUGAAUUGUAUUAGCACCUUGUUUUGUGGCAUUAAUGUUUUCAUUAAUCUUGUCUAUUUUUUUAAAGCUGUUGUGGUUUUCUAGUCAUGUCAGAUGAGAGAACAAAUGGCAAGAAUUACUCUUCUUGGGAAUUUCAGUUUCGAAUGUUUGUUAAAGGAAAAUAACUAUGGAAUCAUUUGGAUGGAUCCUCUAUGGUUCCAGCUGAUCCCAUAGAAUAGGGAUCUUGGAAAAGCAAGGAUGCCAAGGUUGUUUCAUGGUUGUUCAGUUCUAUUGAACCUCAUAUGGUCAACAAUCUUCGUUCCUUCAAUACAGCUAAGGAAAUGUGGGAUUUACUUCAGCGAAUAUAUCAUCAAGAUAACUCUGCUCGAAAGUUCUAAUUAGAGUUGGACAAUGAAAAUUAUCACCAAGGGAAUCAAACAAUUAAGCAGUAUUAUUCGGGUUUCCUAAAUUUAUGGAGUGAUUAUUCUGAGUUGGUGCAAUCUAAGGUUCCAAAGGAAGCAUUGGGAGCAGUACAAGCAGUCCAUAAUGAGAGCAAACAAGACCAAUUCUUAAUGAAGCUUCAUCCAAAAUUUGAGAGUGUAUGCAUUGGGUUGAUUAACCACAAAACCGUUCCAACCUUAGAUGAGUGCCUGGGAGAGCUUCCGCAUGAGGAAUGUCUUGCCCCACAACAUGGCAUUGCCCAAGACACUGUCAGUAUUAAGAUAUUCAAUAUGGCCUAUGCAGCUCAAGGAAAAGGUAGAUUCAAAUCCUCGCCACAAUGCUACAGUUGUAAGGAGUUUAGGCAUAUAACAAAGAAUUGCAGUAAAAAGAGUUGUAAGGAGUUUAGGCAUAUAACAAAGAAUUGCAGUAAAAAGAGUUGUAAGGAGUUUAGGCAUAUAACAAAGAAUUGCAGUAAAAAGAGUUGUAAGGAGUUUAGGCAUAUAACAAAGAAUUGCAGUAAAAAGUUUUACAGUUACUGCAAGAAAGGUCACAUUAUUAAGAAUUGUCACAUAUGACCUUAGAAUCGAUAUGCCCAUGCCUUGUUUAUUGUCGAUCAGUUUAACCUUGCAACCACGCCUCUAAAUCAACCAGUUGUCCCGGGGUCUUCUUCUGCUUUUACACCAGAGCAUGUCUAACAUAUGAUAGUUUCUACUCUAUCUACUCUUGGACUUCAAGGAUCAGAUAUCGGGACAGGUAGUAGCAACGGGGCCUAAAGUGGAACGUCUUUUUCCUCUUUAAUCUUUUUCUAUACCUCAUUCAGUAUCUUUGGGUUGUUCAUCUUUGGCAUAAAAAACUAGGACGUCCUAAUUCUGUUAUUUUGAAACAUCUUGUUAAAAAUGGCUAUUUGAAUAAUAUAUAUGAGUUUUCCUCCUAUUUGGCUUUUGAUUGUGCUUCUUGUAAACUUGGUAAAAACAAAUCCUUAUCAUUUCCUAUGCAAGGAAGUCAGGCUUCUGCUUGUUUUGAAAUUA